rnacentral:rRNA from 1 species
AGUGAACGCUGGCGGUAGGCCUAACACAUGCAAGUCGAACGGCAGCACAGUAAGAGCUUGCUCUUACGGGUGGCGAGUGGCGGACGGGUGAGGAAUACAUCGGAAUCUACUUUUUCGUGGGGGAUAACGUAGGGAAACUUACGCUAAUACCGCAUACGACCUACGGGUGAAAGCAGGGGAUCUUCGGACCUUGCGCGAUUGAAUGAGCCGAUGUCGGAUUAGCUAGUUGGCGGGGUAAAGGCCCACCAAGGCGACGAUCCGUAGCUGGUCUGAGAGGAUGAUCAGCCACACUGGAACUGAGACACGGUCCAGACUCCUACGGGAGGCAGCAGUGGGGAAUAUUGGACAAUGGGCGCAAGCCUGAUCCAGCCAUACCGCGUGGGUGAAGGAGGCCUUCGGGUUGUAAAGCCCUUUUGUUGGGAAAGAAAAGCAGCAGGUUAAUACCCCGCUGUUCUGACGGUACCCAAAGAAUAAGCACCGGCUACUUCGUG